rnacentral:lncRNA from 1 species
UAGGCCCUCCAGGUAAAGCGGACAAUUCUUCUUCCAAUGACCAUUUGUAUGAUAGUGGAAAUAUUUUUCUUUAUUUGCAGCCUUCUUCAGAGUGUCUUACUUUGGCUUCUUCCCUUUCUUCUGCUUCUUUGUAGGCUUGUUCUUUUUCUUCUAAGAAGACUUUCUUUUGGAGGAAGGUUCCUGCUCCACAGUAAGAACAGAGCCCCUUGAAUUCUUCAAGGCCCUUUCUAUAGUAACCAAUAUGUUGAUAAGU